GUGGGGAAUAUUGGACAAUGGGCGAAAGCCUGAUCCAGCCAUGCCGCGUGUGUGAAGAAGGUCUUCGGAUUGUAAAGCACUUUAAGUUGGGAGGAAGGGCAGUAAGUUAAUACCUUGCUGUUUUGACGUUACCGACAGAAUAAGCACCGGCUAACUUCGUGCCAGCAGCCGCGGUAAUACGAAGGGUGCAAGCGUUAAUCGGAAUUACUGGGCGUAAAGCGCGCGUAGGUGGUUUUGUAAGUUGGAGGUGAAAUCCCCGGGCUCAACCUGGGAACUGCCUCCAAAACUGCAUGACUGGAGUACGGGAGAGGGUAGUGGAAUUUCCUGUGUAGCGGUGAAAUGCGUAGAUAUAGGAAGGAACACCAGUGGCGAAGGCGACUACCUGGACUGAUACUGACACUGAGGUGCGAAAGCGUGGGGAGCAAACAGGAUUAGAUACCCCUGUAGUCC
rnacentral:rRNA from 1 species